AAAUUCAUGUCUUCAUGGCAUCCGCAUUUUGACAGUAGCUGAAACCAAAGGAAAAUAUAAAGUUGCCCAAAGAAAGCAGGAAAGUUAAAAACAAUGAGCUGGACUCACAAAACAUAAGCAUGAAACAUAUAGGCGGAAAAAGAGGUGAAGAAAAUGUGAAAGCAUUCCAAUUAUGGCUCAAUUAAGGCAAAAGCAACCAAGGACUCUGAUCCCUUAUACUGUUCACCUUACUGGAUACGAUGAGAAAAAUCUAAAUGAGUGAGAGAUAAUAGACAUCAGAUAAUAGCAGAAAAGACAGCCCCAGAUCAGUUAUAGUUGGU
rnacentral:lncRNA from 1 species